GACAGAGGGUGCAAACGUUGUUCGGAAUUACUGGGCGUAAAGCGCGUGUAGGCGGCCCUGCAAGUCGGAUGUGAAAUCCCACGGCUCAACCGUGGAAGUGCAUUCGAAACUGCAGGGCUAGAGUCCUGGAGAGGAAGGUGGAAUGCUUGGUGUAGAGGUGAAAUUCGUAGAUAUCAGGAAGAACACCCGUGGCGAAAGCGGCUCUCUGGAACGGUACUGACGCUGAGACGCGAAAGCGUGGGGAGCGAACAGG
rnacentral:rRNA from 1 species